rnacentral:rRNA from 1 species
UACGUGGGGUGCAAGCGUUGUUCGGAAUUACUGGGCGUAAAGCGUGUGUAGGCGGCUCGUUAAGUCUGACGUGAAAUCCCUGGGCUUAACCCAGGAACUGCAUCGGAAACUAGCGAGCUUGAGUCCGGGAGAGGGUAGUGGAAUUCCUGGUGUAGAGGUGAAAUUCGUAGAUAUCAGGAGGAACGACCGGUGGCGAAGGCGGCUACCUGGGACCGGUACUGACGCUGAGACACGAAAGCGUGGGGAGCAAACAGG